rnacentral:lncRNA from 1 species
UUUCUUAUGAAUAAAUGUGUAAUUUUUGUUAGAAGGUAUAUAGGCUAUCUGGUAACAGCAUCUGAUGUGGAUUGUAAAAAUUGUUAUAAUUAAUCCAUAAGGAAUCACGAGAUGGGCCAUAUAUGGUUGAAAGCUUGUCGAGUCCAGUUUCUAACACAUUAAAAAGAUUUUAAUUCUGAGUUGAUAUCUUAAGAUAUGGUCAUUUUAGUGAAAGUAGCAUAGGUUACCAGAAUUAGUUACUUGAGUUAUUUCUUGUUUAACUUAGUUUUUUUGGUAUAAGUGGUCUCAAAUGGGUUGAUUAAUUACUAUCAUAUUGAAAUGAUCUUAAAUAGGCCAUUAAUUAUGUUGGGGGAAAAACUAGGUGGUGGAAUCAGAAGGAGAUAAGUAGAAUCUCACACAUUUUACUUAUUUUCGAAGCUAUGUGUAUAUGUAUGUUUCCAAAUGAGUAAAUAUUUUUAUUUAUUAUUUUUUAUAUAUGAAAAUAGGAUCAAGCAUAUGAUUAUUUUAUGUUUUUGUUAUGUAAAUGAUGGAUCAUGGUUAUGAAUGAAAUGAGAAAAUGAUUUAUGUUUAAAGAACGAUUUUAUGAUGACUACGUUUUUACAUUUCUAGGAAGUGAAAUCAUCGACACCAAAACUAAUUUUACAGCCCUGGCUAAUGGUUUAUAGUAGUUAGCAUAGACAUGAUCAUACGGCCCUGCUAACGAGUUAUAGUAGUUAGCGUAAGGCCUUGGCUAGUGAGUUAUAAUAGUUAGCAAUAAUCAUGAAGAUGAAAUUAUCGAUACGACCAAUGUCACGGGUUAUACCAGUGAUCGUAGCUAACGAUAAAUGAAUGAUAAUGAUGAUGAUUUACGAUGAUUUUUAAUGAUUGAUCCAUGAUUUGAUUUGAUUACGAUAUUUGAAUGAUAACAUAUUUUACAAUGAUUUAUAAAAUGAAAUAUUUUUAUAUUGAUUUAUGAUUUACGAAAUGUUUGACAUAAUGAUGAUUUUGGAAAUGUUUUGACAUUAUGAUUUUAUUAACGUUUUGAAUGAUCUAUAUGAUUUGUAUAAAAAAAAAUGCUUGAUUCGGUAAGGUGUGUGAACUUAUACUUGCUGAGCUAAGUUUACUUAUUCUCUUUUUACUUUUUUUUUUACAGAUGAAUAAAUGAUAAGUUUGCUUAGUUUUGUGAAAGCUAGAAGAUCAAAUAGGAAAGAUUACUUAGUCGUCGAAGAUAAUGUUUGCCAAUAAGAUCUUAUGAAAUGGUUUUGUAUUUUUUUAUAGAUUGUAUUUGGAUAUAUAGAGAUUUAUCAUUAGUUAGAUUAAAUAUAUGAAUUUUACUUGGUAGACUAUAGCAGUUUAUUGACGAAUUUUAGAAUGAUUAAGAAAAAAAGCUUUGUAUUACUUUAAGGUUUACUUCAAGGUAAUAUGGUUGUGUUAUAUCUUGGUUUCGGGGUGUGACAAAAAGUGGUAUCAGAGCUUAAGUUACAAUCUUUGGAGAAUUUUUUUUAAGAGUUAGAUUAUGAUUUGUAGAUUGUGAUGAUAUUUUCUUUAAAAGCUUAAGUUAUGUUUCUUGGAGAUUUUAUAAGAGUUCAAGUUAUGAUCUUUAAACUAUGUGAGAUGUUAAAAAGCUUAUAGUAUGAUUUUAAGGAUUUUCUAAUAACCACAAUUAUGAUCUUUGGAGAUUUCUAAGAAGUUAGAUUUUGAUAAUUGAAUUGAUGAUGAUUUUCUAAGAAUGUAGUGCGUGAUCCUUAUAUUGAAAGAGUUACUAUAUGAGCAUGAUUAUGAUCCAUAUACUAUGUGGAGAUUUUUAAAAAUUUAGAUGAUUUUUCAAAGACAUAACUUUGAUCAGUGACUAUAGUGGUGAGUAUAAGUAAAUGAUUCGAUGAAUUUUGGAGUAGUUAAAGUUUCAAUGAAUUAUUGGAGUAAUUAUUUUGGUUGAUAUUUACAUAUUGUUUUUAGAUCUUGUAGUUAAGAUAAAGUAUAAUUAUUUUGAUAUAGUGCGAUUUUAUAAGUUGAAGAGAUUUUCGAUGCGACUUAUAAUGAGACAUAUUUUAUGAGUUAAAGGAUUAUUCAAGAGAAUGAUUUGAUCAUUGGAGAUCCUAUGGGUUUGAGAAAAGACAUUUGACUUAAUGAGAUUUUGAAGUAUUUGAUAAGUGUAAAGUGAAUUCUUAAUCAUGGAUUAAAAGUGGUAUUUGAGUGUACAUUGUUGGAAUUAAAAGUAUAGAAUAUUAGAGUUUGAAUGAAAUGAUAUUUUGAAACUUUGAAGUAAUUAUUUGUAUGUUAUAAUGUUUGAGAAUUUGUUUUGAUGGAUUUAUUGUGAUAAUUGUGGUAAAUAGUUUAAUAUACGUAAAGAAAGAUAUUCACUUGAUUUGAUUAUACAUUUUUAUUGCGAAAGUAUUUAAGGUUUGAUCAUGCGAGUUGGACGUUUGUAUAGUUAAUUUAAAGUUUGAUCAUUAAAUUCCUAUUUAAAGUGUACUGAUUUUUUUUAAUGGCUAAAUGGAUUAAUUUGUAGUUAUAAUUUUUAAUUGAAGUAUACUAUUAGAUUCCUUUGAAUUUAAUAUUUAUGGAGAACAUUGUCUAUUGUGGUACGAGGUGGUGUACUUAGUAAGAAAUUAAAUUUGUGGAUAAAAAUUAAAAUUGUGGUUAUCUAGAUGAUUUAGUAAGGAAGUUGGUUUUGAAGGAGUAAUCGAUUUAUAGAAAAAUAUAUAUGUUUUGGCUAAAAAUGAUUGUUUGAAAUCUUACAAGGGCAAAAGAUUAUUUGAAAUCUUAUAAGUGAUGUUUUGUGUACUUGGUGAUGCUGAGCAUAUAUUUGAUUUUAGAGAAGUUUGAAAAAAAAAUUCUGAAAUAAUGUGAUGCAUUUGGUUAUUGUUUAUAACUAUACUUUUGGCAUGAAUUCAAGUAUUUAAAGUUCUUGUUGAUUCAAAUUCUAUAAGAGAAUUUUACUUAUGGAUUAUGAUGCAUAGGUUUUGGCUUUGACGUGGAGAUGAUAGCAAUAUAUUUGGUAAAAAGAAAAUUUAAGACAUUAUGAUGUUUGUGGGGAUUAUGAAGAAUCAAUUGUUAUAUGAUAAUUGGUCUAUUAAAUCAAAAAGAACAUUAUUCAAAAUUGGAGACAACUUUGAUAACUAGAGAUUUAGAUUUGAAUUUACAUGGUGCAAACUUAUGGAUAUGAUUUAUUGCAUCGAUUUUAUAUGUUUUAUAAUGGUUAAUUGAUAAAAAUUUUCAUAUUGUCAGCGGAGAAAAAAAGAAAAUUAAAAUAUUAUGUGAUAUAUUUUUUUUUGUGAUUAAAGGAUUUGUUGAUACUAUUAUUCAACUUUAAGGUUGUGUAUGGUUAUGAAUACCCAGCAUAAAGUGAAUAACAUGAAAGUUUGUGGACAUAUGUUUUUCUUGUUAUGAAAUAAUGUUAUGAAAGUUAAUUUGUUCAAAUUUUAUUAGAAGGAAAUAUCAGAGUGCGCAGUGGAAGCCUGAUUUGAUUUAAGUUCUAAAUUUUUUAUGCUAUCGUUAGUUGAGAAAGUGAUGAAUCUUUAAUAAAUAAGGAGAAAUGGAUUUUGGGUAAGAAUAUUUUGUGUUCCCUUCAUUUUUAAGACUUUAUCGUUGACUUACAUUCUUUUAAGAAGUGUUAUGUCAUAACUUGAAAAGAAAUAUUUUAUAAUGAUUGUCAUAAGACAAAUAUUCAAUGAUUCAUUUUGAGGUUUUGUGUGGAAGUAAAUCUAAGUCUUAGACUCAUUGGCAUAAGGACAAAAAAGAAAAACUUUUAUUUCUUGAAUUUAUGAAAAAAUUACUGAUACAUUUUGGUUGAUUAAAGAAUGGUUUAAAGUAAGCAAGAAUUAGGUUAAAAUUCAGAGAUAAGAUUUGUACCUUCAAGUGGUUAAUCAUUUGUACUCAAAUGUGUCAUCAUUAAAAAUGUUAUGAGGAUUAUAAGGUAAGGAAUGUUAAGUUUACAUAAUGCAAGGACAUUUGAAGUUCUUGGUAAAGUGAAAGAAAUUCAAUACAAAAAAAAUACUAUCACCUUAGAUGUUUAAUGUAUAUGAGGAAUCUAUGUCAAGAGAAUAUCUUGAUAGAAGCUAUAUGGUUGGAUAUAAGUAUUUAAAAAUUCAAGAUGAUAUAAGCUUUAACAUAUUAAAAAUAUUUUUUUUGAAUGUUUGAUUGGAAAGAACAAAUUUUGAGGCAAAAUGAUUACUUUUGUCAAAGUUUAAUGAGACAAUCACAUGGUAAGAGAAGUGAUUGCAAAAAUAAAACAAUAAGAUAUAGAUGAAAAUCAAGUUUCGAGGAUGAAAUUUUUUAUAAGGAGGGGAGAAUGUAAACUCUAGCCCAAAUGAUAAUUGGGCUAAACUAAUACCAAUGUCCAUCAAUUUAUUAAGAGAUUAAUUAGUAAAAAAAAAAAAUGGGCUGAAGUAUUAAAUGAAAGAAAACCUAGCUAUUGAGAAACAGAAAGAAAAUAGGAGUUUUUCUUUUUCAUUUUCCUUAAGAUUAGAGAAUAUGAAAAAUCAAGUUUGAGAUUUUAAAUCAAAGGCUACAAUCGAGUUAAUCUCCUAAUGGUGAGUAUAUACCCUCUUUUAUUUAAGAAAAAACUAUCAUGUUGAUUGCUAUUAAUUGGAAAUGAAGUUUUGAGAGAAAAAUCAAGAAAAUUGUGAAAUCUUUCAUUAAUCUUCAUGAUCUAUUUGGGUAAAUUACUGGACUUUGUUUAUUUCAUGUUCUUAAGCUUUAUUAAUGGUUAUUGAAUGGAGUUUAAAGGCUGAAAGUAGGGAUUUGAGUUUUUAAAGAUUGAAGAAGAAAUUCUAUUUUUAGAUGAGAUACUAUGAUCUACAAUAAUGAAUCAAAAAAGAAUUUUAUAUUAAUGGAUAGAUUAUUGCUAUGAUUAUUAUAUAUCGUUGGAAAACAUGUUAAAUCUACUUUUUAAUGAAAUAAAUGGAAGUCAAAUGUGAGUUUUCUGUGAAGAGUUGUCUAAUUUUUACUUAAGGAUAUGCAGGCCGUAAGGCAGCAGCAUCAGGGUUAAAUUACAAAAAUUGUCUUAAUUUUUAUAUAAGGAAUUACAGAUUAAGCCAUAUAUGUUUCGAAAAACAUAUUAAGUCUACUUUCCAACAGAACAAGCAGAAUUGAAUUUGGAGUUUCCUAUGAAUAAAUGUGUAAUUUUUGUUAAAAGGUAUAUAGGCUAUCUUGCAGCAGCAUCUGACGUAGAUUAUAAAAAUUGUUAUAGUUAAUCCACAAGGAAUCAUGAGAUUGGCCAUAUAUGGUUAGAAAGUUUGUCGAGUCAAUUUCUAAUUAAAAAUAUUUUAAUUCCAAGUUGGUUAUCUUGAGAUAUGGUCAUUUUAGUGAAAGUAGCAUAGGCUAUCAGAAUUAGUUACUUGAGUUAUUUCUUGUUUAACUUAGUUGUUUUGGUAUAAGUGGUCUCAAAUGGGUUGAUUAAUUGCUAACAUGUUGAAAUGAUCUUGAAUAGGCCAUUAAUUAUUUUGGGAAAAAAACUAGGUGGUGGAAUCGAAAGGACAUAAGUAGAAUCUCACACACUUUACUUAUUUUUGAACUUAUGUAUAUAUGUAUGUUUCUAAAUGAGUAAAUGUUUUUAUUUAUUAUUUUCAAUAUUUGAAAAUAGGAUUAAACAUAUGAUUAUUUUAUGUUUUUGCUGUGUAAGUGAUGGAUCAUGCUUAUGAAUGAAAUGAAAAAAUGAUUUAUGUUUAAAGAACAAUUUUAUGAUAGCUAUAUUUUUACAUCCCUGAGAAGUGAGAUCAUCGACAUCAGAACUAGUUCUACGGCCCUGACUAAUGGAUUAUAGUAGUUAGCAUAGACAUGACCAUACGGCCCUACUAACGGGUUAUAGUAGUUAGCGUAAGGCUUUAGCUAGCGGGUUAUAAUAAUAAGCAAUGAUCAUGUGGAUGAAAUUGUCGAUACGAUCAAUGUCACGGGUUAUAGUAGUGACCAUAGCUAACAAUAAAUGAAUGAUAAUGAUGAUUUAUGAUGAUGAUGAUUUACAAUGAUUUUUAAUGAUUGAUCCAUGAUUUAGUUUGAUUACGAUAUUUGAAUGAUAGCAUAUUUUAUAAUGAUUUAUGAAGUAACAUGUUUUGAUAUUAAUUUAUGAUUUACGAAAUGUUUGACAUAAUGAUGAUUUUGGAAAUAUUUUGACAUUAUGAUUUGACGAAUGUUUUGAAUGAUCUAUAUGAUAUGUAUAAAAAAAAUGCUUGAUCCGGUAAAGUGUAUAAGCUUAUACUUACUGAGCUGUGGUUUGCUCAUUCUCGUUUUACUUUUUUCUUUACAGAUGAGUAAAUGAUAAGUUUGCUUAGUUUUGUGAAAACUAGAAGAUUAAAUGGGAAAAAUUACUUAGUUGUCGGAGACAAUAUUUGUUAAUAAGAUCUUAUGAAACAAUUUUGUAUUUUAAUAUAGAUUGUAUUUGGAUAUAUAGAGAUAUAUCAUUAGUUAUAUUAAAGAUAUGGAUUUUGCUUGACAGAUUAUAGUAGUUUAUUGACAAAUUUUAGAAUGAUUAAGAAAGAAGGCUUCGUAUUACUUUAAGGUUUACUUCAAGGUAAUAUAACCGUGUUACGUCUUGGUCUUGGGGUGUGACAAUCUAGAUCAAUCUCAAAGCUGUCAACUUCAAUUUCGAGCCUCCUAAUGUUCAAUUGGAUGUCACCCAUUCGAGGUAUGGCAUAAUCGCCAAGGAUUCUCAGUUUCCAAGGAUAUGCCAUACGAUUUUGAAUUAAGAAAAUAGAAAAUUAAAAAUAAAAAUAAAAAGGUUGGAAUUACAAUCAGGCAUUUUUACUAUCGAUGUUAGCAUUAAAUUGCACCAAUUCCUAACAACGGUGCCAAAAAACUUAAUUGCUACCAUAAGAGCACGAAUUGUAACAAGCAAUAUAAGAUGAGUAAAGUAUCGUCCCAUAAGAAUUGUAAAAGAGUUAAUACUAAGUACCGAAAUUGUAAUACCUCAAUUAUAUUUAGACAAAUCAAAACUAAUAUGCAAGAACUAAAUUGAACUACUUAACUAAUCAAAACAGAAAAUUUACUUGUGUAAAAAUCUAAUUAAACAAGCAAACAACCUAAAUUGAAAUUUAAAUAUGCAAAAACAAAGAAUUAAACUUAUAUAGCAACUUAAGUAAAUCAAAACUGUAAAUAAAAUUAAAACUUAAACAUGUAAUAACAAUUAAACAUGUAACAAGAAAAUUGAAUCUAAAUCACAACCUAAACAACAAUUCAACAUGCUAGAAUUUAAAUUGAAAAUUGAAACUUAAUGAAUAAACUAAACAGCAACCUAAAAAACUUAAUUAAAUAUAAAAAGACUAAUAUCAAAUUAAAACUGAAUUAAACAAAUUAAAUUAACAUGAACUGAAACUUAUACUGCAUUAAACGAACUUAUUAAACUUCAAGAAUAGUAAAUUAACCAUAAUCUAUCAUACAUGAAACAUAAACAAAACAAAUAAACUUAAAUAACACUUAACAAAAUUUAACUUAAGCAAAUUAAACUUAAAAGCAUGCAAAAACAUUAACCUUUGUCUAACAACUUAAAAUCAUAGGUUGUGCAACAAAAUUUAACUUGAGAAACUUAAAUCAAAUUAGAGCAGAACUAAAUUAAUAUUAAAUUGCAAGAACUAAACUUGAAUUAAAGUAAAUAGCAAGAAUAGAAAAUUAAAUAUCUUGAACUUAAAUAAAAUGAAAACAGAAUUUAGAGUGCUUGAAAAGCUUAAAUUAAACUUGCAAAAAUUUAAAGUAACUUGAAAAAAUUGAAUUAAAUUGAAAACUUAAGGAAAACAAAGUAAGAAAGCAUAAAAGAACAAUGAUUGGUAACUAAAAAGAGCUUAAAAGAACAAGAAAACAAUAAAAGAGAACCAUACAAAGCUAUAGGAUAGACCAUUAUCUCAACUAUGCUUUUUCCUA